GAUGAACGCUGGCGGCGUGCCUAAUACAUGCAAGUCGAGCGAACAGAUGAGGAGCUUGCUCCUCUGACGUUAGCGGCGGACGGGAGAGUAACACGUGGAUAACCUACCUAUAAGACUGGGAUAACUUCGGGAAACCGGAGCUAAUAACGGAUAAUAUAUUGAACCGCAUGGUUCAAUAGUGAAAGACGGUUUUGCUGUCACUUAUAGAUGGAUCAGCGCCGCAUUAGCUAGUUGGUAAGGUAACGGCUUACCAAGGCAACGAUGCGUAGCCGACCUGAGAGGGUGAUCGGCCACACUGGAAGUGAGACACGGUCCAGACUCCUACGGGAGGCAGCAGUAGGGAAUCUUCCGCAAUGGACGAAAGCCGAACGGAGCAACGCCGCGGGAGUGAUGAAGGUCUUCUGAUCGUAAAACUCUGUUAUUAGGGAAGAACAAAUGUGUAAGUAACUAUGCACGUCUUGACGGUACCUAAUCAGAAAGCCACGGCUAACUACGUG
rnacentral:rRNA from 1 species